rnacentral:rRNA from 1 species
UUUUAAAGUAAAUAGUGAACCAAAUGAUUAAUAGUUAAGAUCUUUAAAGUUAAAAAAUUUGGCGGUAUUUUAGUCUAUUCAGAGGAACCUGUUCUAUAAUUGAUAAUCCACGAUUUAAUUUACUUUAAUUAGAAAUUUAUAUAUCGUUGUUAAUGAAAAUUUUAUUAGAAUUUAAUUUUCAAUAGUUUUUUAAAAAUUUUAAUUCAGAUCAAGGUGUAGUUUAUAUUAAAGAAGAAAUGGGUUACAAUAAAAUUAUUUUUGGAUAUUAAAUUUAAAAUUUAAUUUAAAAUGGAUUUGAAAGUAAUUAAGUUUAAUUUAAUUUAAUGAUUUAGCUCUAAAAUAUGU